CGGCCGUACACCUGCGGU
rnacentral:misc_RNA from 1 species